UGCGCGCCGCCCUGGCCACUAAGCGGCUGCCGGGGUGCCGGACGCGGCCCCAGCUCCCCGGCCGCGGAGUCCGCCGGCGCGCGGCGCAUGGGUCGGCGAGGCGGGCCCCGGUGCGCUCGGGCCAUGGCGCGCCUGGGCGCCGUGCGCUCCCACUACUGCGCCCUGCUGCUGGCCGCCGCGCUGGCCGUCUGCGCCUUCUACUACCUGGGCUCGGGCCGGGAGACCUUCUCCAGCGCCACCAAGAGGCUGAAGGAGGCCCGCGCCGGGGCCCCCGCCGCACCCUCGCCGCCCGCGCCGGAGGUGGCGCGGGGCUCCGUGGCGCCGGCCCCCGGCGCCAAGGCCAAGAGCCUGGAGGGCGGCGGGGCCGUGCCGGUGGACUAUCACCUGCUGAUGAUGUUCACCAAGGCGGAACACAACGCCGCGCUGCAGGCCAAGGCCCGCGUCGCGCUCCGCUCCCUGCUGCGCCUCGCCAAGUUCGAGGCGCACGAGGUGCUGAACCUGCACUUCGUGAGCGAGGAGGCCAGCCGGGAGGUGGCCAAGGCCCUGCUGCGAGAGCUGCUGCCGCCCGCCGCCGGCUUCAAGUGCAAGGUCGUCUUCCACGAUGUCGGCGUGCUGACGGACAAGCUCUUCCCGGUGGUGGAGGCCAUGCAGAAGCACUUCAGUGCCGGCUCAGGGACCUACUACAGCGACUCCAUCUUCUUCCUCUCGGUCGCCAUGCACCAGAUUAUGCCCAAAGAGAUCCUGCGGAUAAUUCAGCUGGACCUCGACCUCAAGUACGAGACCAACAUCCGGGAAUUGUUUGAGGAGUUUGACAAUUUCCUGCCAGGCGCCGUCAUUGGCAUAGCAAGAGAGAUGCAGCCAGUGUACAGGCACGCGUUCUGGCAGUUCCGCCAGGAGAACCCCAAGACCCGGGUGGGGGGCCCGCCCCCCGAGGGGCUCCCCGGCUUCAACAGCGGGGUGAUGCUGCUGGACCUGGAGGCGCUGCGCCAGUCCGCCCUCUACGGCCGCCUGCUGGAGCCGGCGCGGGUGCGGCAGCUGGCGGACAAGUACCGCUUCCGCGGCCACCUCGGCGACCAGGACUUCUUCACCGUGGUCGGCAUGGAGCACCCCGAGCUCUUCCACGUGCUGGACUGCACCUGGAACCGCCAGCUGUGCACCUGGUGGAGGGACCACGGCUACAGCGACGUCUUCGAGGCCUACUUCCGGUGCGAGGGCCACGUCAAGAUCUACCACGGGAACUGCAACACCCCCAUCCCGGAGGCCUAGGCGCGCCCUCGCCCCCGCGCCCUCGGGUCCCCUGGAAGCCGAGGGGCGCCUCCCAUACACCCUCCCCGGGGAUGUCCUUCCGAUGACCGCUGCGCCGUCGCACCCCGCAGGUCGCUGGCCCGAGGCCACCCGGUGGGGCCGGCCUGGCACUGCUGGUGCGCGGGGCCCUUUCUCUCCAGGGGGCCAGGAGGCCAGGCAUCGACAUCUUCCCGUUGGGCUGGGAAGCGGGCAUUUAAAGAGAAGAAAGGAAAUGGGGCUCCGUGCCCUCAGCCCCCAAAGCAUGGAAAUGCCCGGCCUUUCUUAGACCAGAUAUAAAUUUAUCUCAAAUCGACAUGCUUCCAUUUUGCAGGAAAGAACAAAACAGUACUGCUGUAGAUCCGGGGAGCUCCAAACGAGCCAGCCAGGGUUUUAUCCGCCAGCCCAGAGUUUGAGCAUCCGGAUGAAUACCAGCCUUCUGCAUGUGCUCCCCGGGAGGCUGCGAGCUCGUCCGCCCUGCCCGCAUGACCUCUGUAGGUUGAAAGGUCACCGCCUCUGCGGGGAGAGAGCCUUUAUGGCCAGCAGUGGCCCACAGAGAAAACCGGGCUCAUUAUUUUAGCCUCCAGGCUUUUCUCUCCCAACGACAUCACAGAACCUCAUUAUCCCUUAUUCAUCCAGGCAGCUUCAGGUGACCGGACUGUGCUCGGAAAUCAGAUCCGCCAUCAAAGAACAGAGCUCGGCCACCCACAAGGACACGCAGUAGAGUUGUCUGGACGGGAAAGACUCAUUCCGAAGAGGAGCCCAGCAGUGUAUGCGCAUAAACGUGUGGCUCGGAAGGGGUGUCACUCAUAGGCUGAUAAGCCUUCAGUCUCUGUUUAAAAAGUCGUCCUGUGACUUUCUUAUUGUAUCAUAUCAGACCCUGUACCUUAGAGGGAAUUCGGCUCUUCUCUGAAUGAGUUCCCUCGAAAGGUGCAGACACCAGGUCCAUUUUGUCUAGUCCAGCGGAGUUCCUGGGGGGGGCGGGGGGGGGGGAGAGGGGACGACAACUGCGGUUGGAUUUUGACGACUGCAGUUGGAUUUUCAUCUUUUUAUUUCAGUUUCGUUUACUUUUUUUUAUUUCUUUUCACCAUGAGUGAGAACAGCUAAUAAAUCAUUUGAGAACACAAUGAUUAUGUGGUUUGUCCUCUGAUCACAGCUUGCUGCUACCUGAAGGUUCCGAAUCAAGAGCGUAAUCGGUGUCAUUCAGAGCUCUCCCCACCCCCACCCCCUGCUCCCCGGCCCGUCCAGGUGAUCAAGCUAAAUGUGCUCACCGUGGGUCUCUGUGGACCACGGAGGAGCAUGUCCGAGGCAGGAGGAGGGAGGGCGCCAGGGCUGUGUCACUCGAGAAUCAUUGCAUUGUGGGCAUAGGCGGGCCCGUCCGCUCCUGGGAGCAAAAACAUUGCCUUCCCUUCCCACUUCCCAGCCCAGGCUCCCUGGUUACAUCAUCCCCUGACGAAGCGGAGCACAGUCCUCUCCUGCCUCUCUGCUCUGACAGAACUGGCGGUCUGAUAUUUUUGUUGGCCAUACCACCCUGGAGAGCCCGUGUCCGGGAAGCCAGGGGUCCUUGGAUAAGCCCUUCCCCUCUGGACUACAAGGGGCUACGGGACUGGACGCGAUCUCCAAGCACCUCUCUGCUCCCAGCACACGUGUCGUACGCAUCCAUCUCUGUUCACGCGUGCAUGUGGCGGGGAGUCUAAAUCAAAUGCAAGACCUCCGGACCUCAACUCAUCAUUUACACAACUUGGAAAUUACGACCAUUCAAACGGAGACUCACUCACAAGGUACAGUUGGCAUGACUUUUGCCCCAGUCUGAACAGGCGAAGUGAGGGACGCAGACAAACUAUAGGAGGUCUUUAAAUCCAGAGAGACUCCGUGCCAUCCACGAGCCGCAGCCCUCUGCUUUUGGCCUCUUUGUCUCCCAAAGAGCCUCCCAGGCAGAGCCACUUUGUAGACGGACCCGUAACCCCACGCAUCUCUCCCUGGGCAGUACUGAGUCUGGAGCCCCCAGAGAGGGGGCUGGUGGGGCCGCCCUGUGGACUGGCCUGCCACUCCCUGAGGUACUUGCAAAGGCCAACAAACCUUCUGGAGGGAAGGCUUCUCUAACUGGGUGUGCUCCCAGUGUCUCCACGUGUGGCCCCGCUCCAACGGAAAUGCGUCCACCCCAUACAGGUGAGGGCAACCUCACCGAGGGCCCUGCGUUCAGGGCCGGAGGGGCCUUUCCACGCUUUCCCCGACAGCCUCCAGAACAUGCAGAGAAGCCGCCGACUGAGCUUCAGAGUCUCCACCAGUUUCUGUCCUGACUGGUGAGCUCCUCAGGGCAGGGAUGGUGUCGUCACCUGUGGCUGUCCCCCAGCACACGCUCAAGUGGGGCCUGUGAGGACGCCAGGUGCGGACAGCCUGGGUGCUUGGGCCGGUCUGUUCGGUGUGGGGGGUAAGCGAAGCCGGAAGUUCUCAACAUGUCCCUUCCACCUGCUCUGCCCUGACAUCCUCACCGUCGCUUCCCACCUCGAGCGUGGAGGGAUCUAUGCACAGAAGAUCCCGGGCACACUGACGCCGCUCGGCAGGAAGGAGCAGGGCCUGGCCAGACGGGUGAGGUGGCCUCCGGAGGACCUGUGCCCGUGCCGGGGAUGAUGAGAGCUGGGGCUGCCCACUGCUCACUCCAGGGGAAAAGCCAGCAAUUCUGUGCAGACGGCGUGGGCUAUGGAGGAGGGUGACCUCAGAUGACACCCCAGUUGUGACGCUCUUCAUUUGUGCAAGUCACAGCAGGAGAGUCCGAAACCUGCGGUGGAAGCCACUUGGUAUCGAAAGACAAGGAAGUGGGAAAUGUAUGAAGGGCAGAGCGCGCCUGCUUGACUUGAGUCUGUGGGAUGGGCCUUCAUGAGAAGAGCGUCUUCCAUCCAGAUCCAGGCGUCCUGUUCAACAAGCUGUGAGGAUGAAGGAGCAAGUACGGGGUCCUCCUCUUUCUCCCCUCGACGCAGACUCUCCCACAGCCCCGUCUGGGCCACCCUCCCUCCGUGCCCUGGCUUCCUCUCUCCUUCCCCACCUCCCGGUCAUCCGGGAAGACGCCUCUGGCACAGGUGACACUGUAUACCCCUCUGCAAUGCAGAGUUUCGCAUCGCAAGCGCUUCUCGUAAGAGAAAGCAGUCACACUGAGCGGUGAGCUCUGUCUCCCCAGAGGCAGGAAGGCUCCAGAACGUUGGAGCUUCUGGGGCCUCUGACUGGGAACAUCUGAUAACCCCUGGCCUGGCCUUCGAGGGAGGCAGGGGCCCCUUGGCCAGAGGCUUUGAGGCUGUGAAGCUGGACGACGGGUCAAGGAACAAGAAGUGCUAGGGACCAUUUUAAGAAGAGUCCUGAGGGAGGGCCUCCGAGCCCGAGAGGCUGUAAUGUACGGCCAUGAGGGGAUUGUGCAGAGAGCUUAAUGUGGCUGGGGAUGGGGCUGGGAUCACCUUUAUUCUUUUUCAAGAAACACAAAUACAGACUGACCUUGCUCUUUUGUGUAGUCAUGACAACCGCUAUGUUUCAUUGGAUGCCACAAAGGCUGAGACUGGGUCACGCAGGACCCGGGGCUUUGUUGCAUAGACAACACCGUAAUCCUGCAGCCUCCGUCAUCACCUGGCUCUGCCUGGAGCCUCUGUGCUGCUUGAAGGUGGGCCUCUGGCCUCCUCGAGGUCCCAGCGUCCGACACGGUGCCCGACACAUUGUGAGUGCUCGUUGAAUCUUUGUUGUUCAACUGCACGAAUACAUGGAAACUGGGCACACCUUCCCAGGGAAGAAAAAUGGCACCCGUGGGUUUGGG